rnacentral:tRNA from 1 species
GGCCCAUUCGUCUAGUGGCCUAGGACACUGCCCUCUCACGGCGGCGGCACGGGUUCGAAUCCCGUAUGGGCCU